AGCGAACGCUGGCGGCAGGCCUAACACAUGCAAGUCGAACGAACCUUUCGGGGUUAGUGGCGGACGGGUGAGUAACACGUGGGAACGUGCCUUUAGGUUCGGAAUAACUCAGGGAAACUUGUGCUAAUACCGAAUGUGCCCUUCGGGGGAAAGAUUUAUCGCCUUUAGAGCGGCCCGCGUCGGAUUAGCUAGUUGGUUGAGGUAAUGGCUCACCAAGGCGACGAUCAGUAGCUGGUCUGAGAGGAUGAUCAGCCACAUUGGGACUGAGACACGGCCCAAACUCCUACGGGAGGCAGCAGUGGGGAAUCUUGCGCAAUGGGCGAAAGCCUGACGCAGCCAUGCCGCGUGAAUGAUGAAGGUCUUAGGAUUGUAAAAUUCUUUCACCGGGGACGAUAAUGACGGUACCCGGAGAAGAAGCCCCGGCUAACUUCGUG
rnacentral:rRNA from 1 species